GACGAACGCUGGCGGCGUGCUUAACACAUGCAAGUCGUACGGUAAGGCCCUUUCGGGGGUACACGAGUGGCGAACGGGUGAGUAACACGUGAGUAACCUGCCCACAACUUUGGGAUAACGCUAGGAAACUGGUGCUAAUACUGGAUAUGUGCUCCUGCUGCAUGGUGGGGGUUGGAAAGCUCCGGCGGUUGUGGAUGGACUCGCGGCCUAUCAGCUUGUUGGUGUGGUAGUGGCCUACCAAGGCGGCGACGGGUAGCCGGCCUGAGAGGGUGACCGGCCACAUUGGGACUGAGAUACGGCCCAGACUCCUACGGGAGGCAGCAGUGGGGAAUAUUGCACAAUGGGCGCAAGCCUGAUGCAGCAACGCCGCGUGCGGGAUGACGGCCUUCGGGUUGUAAACCGCUUUCAGCAGGGACGAAGCUUUUUGUGACGGUACCUGCAGAAGAAGCACCGGCUAACUACGUG
rnacentral:rRNA from 1 species